CCUACGGGAGACAGCAGUGGGGGAUAUUGCACAAUGGGGGGAACCCUGAUGCAGCGACGCCGCGUGGGUGAAGGAGCGUUUCGGCGCGUAAAGCCCUAUCGGCAGGGAAGAAGGAGGACGGUACCUGACUAAGAAGCCCCGGCUAACUACGUGCCAGCAGCCGCGGUAAUACGUAGGGGGCAAGCGUUAUCCGGAUUUACUGGGUGUAAGGGGGGCGCAGACGGCAGCGCAAGCCAGGAGUGAAAGCCCGGGGCCCAACCCCGGGACUGCGCUUGGAACUGCGCGGCUGGAGUGCAGGAGGGGCAGGCGGAAUUCCUGGUGGAUCGGUGAAAUGCGUAGAUAUCAGGAGGAACACCGGUGGCGAAGGCGGCCUGCUGGACUGCGACUGACGUUGAGGCCCGAAAGCGUGGGGAGCAAACAGGAUUAGAUACCCCAGUAGUC
rnacentral:rRNA from 1 species